GCUCAGUUGCCUGAGGACAGCAGUGCAGUUGACAUGGAUAUUCUCUUUCCUCUGGACAGUGUUAUCGGUACAGAGCUGUGCCCCAGCCCCAUUCCCCAGAUCAUCCAUUUCGUCCUCUUUGUUGUGUUCAGCCUGGUGAUCCUGAUUAUCUUACGCCUCUACAUUCCCAGGGAGCCAUCCUCAGUGCCUCCCAGAGAGGAGGACAGCGAGAAUAGAAGGAAACCAGAAAAAGGUUAUUACGCACUUUAGAAACCAGUGAAAGAGAAGCACACAGGCUCCAUGAGCUGGGCGGAGAAAGUGUGUCAUUCACGAGCACUGGGUCUGCAGCUGUGGGGACAGGAGACUGAGACCCGGCCUGCACCCUCUUUCUUGUCUCUCAGGAUCAAGCUGAAGUGGGGGAAUGGCUCAGGAUCGGAAAUAAAUAUAUCACUUUGAAAGAUUACAGAAUUCUCUUGAAAGAACUGGAGAACCUUGAGAUCUACACUUUCCUGUCGAAAAAGUGCCUGAAGAAGCUCUCUAGGGAGGGCAGCUCCCAUCACCUUCCACGCCAAGUCCGCCCAGGGCCAGUGUACAAACCAGCACCUGCUAGGAACCACCGGCCACGUGGGGGGCGUGGGAAAGCUUCUCCCACCAGCUUCCAUGUGUCCCCACGGGCUCCCCUGGCUCCUCUGGCCUCCAUGCCGUCAUCAGUCCCGAAGACCUCCGUAGAGUCCUUGGGGUCUCCAUCAUCCCUGAGCUCCUCCAAGCCACGAGAGCCUCUGUGUCCCCUGAAGCACC
ensembl:lncRNA novel transcript